rnacentral:rRNA from 1 species
AUGAACGCUGGCGGCGUGCCUAAUACAUGCAAGUCGAGCGAACAGACGAUGAUCUUGCUCCUCUGACGUUAGCGGCGGACGGGUGAGUAACACGUGGAUAACCUACCUAUAAGACUGGGAUAACUUCGGGAAACCGGAGCUAAUACCGGAUAAUAUAUUGAACCGCAUGGUUCAAUAGUGAAAGACGGUUUUGCUGUCACUUAUAGAUGGAUCCGCGCCGCAUUAGCUAGUUGGUAAGGUAACGGCUUACCAAGGCAACGAUGCGUAGCCGACCUGAGAGGGUGAUCGGGCACACUGGAACUGAGACGCGGUCCUGACUCCUACGGGAGGCAGCAGUAGGGAAUCUUCCGCAAUGGGCGAAAGCCUGACGGAGCAACGCCGCGUGAGUGAUGAAGGUCUUCGGAUCGUAAAACUCUGUUAUUAGGGAAGAACAAAUGUGUAAGUAACUAUGCACGUCUUGACGGUACCUAAUCAGAAAGCCACGGCUAACUACGUG